GAUGAACGCUGGCGGCGUGCCUAAUACAUGCAAGUCGAGCGAACGGACGAGAAGCUUGCUUCUCUGAUGUUAGCGGCGGACGGGUGAGUAACACGUGGAUAACCUACCUAUAAGACUUGGAUAACUUCGGGAAACCGGAGCUAAUACCGGAUAAUAUUUUGAACCGCAUGGUUCAAAAGUGAAAGACGGUCUUGCUGUCACUUAUAGAUUGAUCCGCGCUGCAUUAGCUAGUUGGUAAGGUAACGGCUUACCAAGGCAACGAUGCAUAUCCGACCUGAGAGGGUGAUCGGCCACACUGGAACUGAGACACGGUCCAGACUCCUACGGGAGGCAGCAGUAGGGAAUCGUACGCAAUGGGCGAAAGCCUGACGGAGCAACGCCGCGUGAGUGAUGAAGGUCUUCGGAUCGUAAAACUCUGUUAUUAGGGAAGAACAUAUGUGUAAGUAACUGUGCACAUCUUGACGGUAACUAAUCAGAAAGCCACGGCUAACUACGUG
rnacentral:rRNA from 1 species